rnacentral:lncRNA from 1 species
AGGAACUCCAUCUUAGCGCUGAAGCCCGUUGUUAGGCUUUGUGUUAUUCUUGGCACGCUGACUGAAGUGCGCUCAGUAUGAAUAGCAGAGCUGAAAAGUAAAUACUGGAUCCUCUGGGAUCUGUGGAGAGGGAGGGCAGUGAUAUUUCUUAAUGGAGCACCCCGGUGCCUGUUUGGGUUAGGCUCACAGUAAUUGCUCCCUAGGUGAGUUUAUACUAACAAUUGAUUAUUUCAAAUGGGAAAGAAGUACAAAUGAGUAAGAGAAUAAACACUGAUGGUGUUACGAAACACAGGAGAGGAGAGCAAAAAUCUCAUGCAGCUCCAGGACAGGGCUGGAAGCAAAGCUGGGCAGAAAAUCAUGAACACUGUUUUCUGUAUAUGCAAUGUCUUAUGAAUGCUGAAUAACAUAAGAAACUGAAUUUUCCCCCAAAGCUUAAGCUAAAGAGAUAUUUCUAAAGUCUGAUCUUCUACAAAGGAGACCUCUUUGCUCUCCUGUCUCCUUCUCCACCCUGGAAAAACAUGGGGCUCUUGACAUGAGCAGCACUUUGCUGUGAGCCAGCAGGUGAGAAGACAAGGAGCAGGAAUAUGUGAUGGAGGAGCUCUGGGCUGAGUAACCUGAAGAUAAAGCCCACCAUGUCCUUGCAGAGACCCUGGCUGGGCCCACUGCAGCUCUCCCAUGGCUGCAAUGCGCCCCAUCCCUUGUCACCAGCCUGUGCUACUGGGACUGGUGUCCUGCUCCCCACAGCUGUGUCCCCCCACUGCUGCGUGUCACAGCAGCGUGCCCCCACUUGCCACUCACCAAGGGCUGCCUUUAGCCUGCUGCAUCUCCAGAGGGGCUCCAGGCAACCCAUAAGCAGCCUCUGGAGUCUGCAGAUGCCCUUUGCUAGGCAGGGGACCAGCGCUGGCCCAAGGACAUAGUGCCAGCCCUCUGUUGAUGAGGAGCUGCCUGUCAGUCCCAGUGCUGCUGCCUCAGGGUCACCACAGCAAAUCCCCAGUGCCCAGGGGCAAACUGGUGCUGUUUAAUGGUUUCUGGGCAUCUUUCACCAUGACUGAACUGACAGCUGCUAAGUACUGGCUGUCCUGGCCUUGGCCAGCAUCACAGGACCGGGAGGGGAUGCUCAGGUGUACAUUUGUGUGCCUGGAGCAGCACCUGUCUGAGGAUGGGCUGCAGCAGGAGGGUGGGCAAAGAAGGGUUGGGAAGGGGAGUCCCAAUUCUUCCAGGAAGGGAAGGAAAUGCAGCCGACCGGGGUGAGGGCUCCUGGGCAGGCGGAGCCCUCAGGGAUGGCUGCAAGCUCUGCUUCUCCCCAGAGCUCACCCUGCUGCCAGGCUGCCACGGGCUCCCCGCAGCUGAGCUCAUUAGUGCCGGCAAUCAGCGGGGCGUGAAGGGGAGAUAAUUACACAGAGCAGGGCUCGGGCUCUAUAAAUGGGCUCUAUAAAUGGGCUCUAUAAAUAGUUCGGAGCGGUGCCCCGGGCUCAGUCACGGCCCCGGGCACCGCGCGGCUCGGACGGGGCCUGCGCUGCCUAGGGAAAACCAAUAAACCUCAAUUAAAUAAUUAAAUGUUUCAUUUAACUACGCUUUUCCUAGCAGGGAAAAAAUGCAGUGAGUUUCCCAGUGGACUCUGAUUUUGAACCAAAAACAAAAAAAAAAAAGAAUUUAUUUUUGGAAAAAUACUUAAGCAAAAGGUUUCAGCCUGGGGUAAUAGUGGCCGCAUGUAGAUGUUCCCCCACAUAGACUCUGGGACUCCACAGAGAGGGAGAAGUGCCCCCAACCCUACAGAGAGCAUCCCCUGGCCGCAGGUAGAGCGGCAUAAUGCCUGGCCCAGCUGCAGGGAUGGCUGUGGGGCAGGGAGGGCACCUGGCCCCACAUAGCCUUGUCUCCCAAGAUGCCACCCUGCAGCACACAUCAUGGUCCUUUUGGGCCAGCUCUGACACCCACAGCCACCCCAGAGCAGCUCAGUCCCCAGUAAAAGCCAUGUUUGCUCACCACCCCACCCCUCCCCAGCGCUGGUGACACAAGCAGCCUGGCCUGUAUUUCCAGCAGGGCCAUUUCCAAACUGAUGGCAACGUCCUGCCCUAGCAUGUGAUGACCCAUGUGUCACCGGUGCCAUCAGUGUGCCCUGACCGGUGAGCACCAGUAACCCUCCUCAUCCUUCAGGGUGCAUCAUCACAGUGCACCGCCUGCCCCGCUGCAGCCUCCAGCAAGGCUGGCUGCCUUGCUUUGCACAGCGAGGCUGGAUCACCUUGGUUUUUUGGUGAAAAUGUGAGUCUAACAUAGCAAGGUACUGCAUCUUUCCCUUACCUUUAAUCACUUCUUUGCUGUUCCUUCCCUGGGGAUGAGAAAAUACUUGAAGACAAGGUUUUGUGCUACUCGGACGUGGAUUGGUUCAGCACAACAGAGAGGGCAGGGUUCAGGAUGCAGCCCAUACCGCAGCCUGCUGUCUCUGCACAUCAAUUUGAGGGAGGAGAGCCUCUCCCCCAGUAAACUCAUUCAUGGGCAAGGGAGAAGGAGCCCAGGACACUCAUGCCACACAUCUAUGGUGUGUUCUGUUAUUAGGCUAAGCCACAAUCAGGUCCCCACACCUCUCUCUUGCAUGUGCACAUCACGCAGAUGCACACACAGUGUAAAACAAGCUGGGCUGGGUUGGGCUGGGGGUGGGUAAUGAGCCAUGGGCUGGAGGUGGUUAAUGAGCCGUGCACAUCCCUGACACAGACCUGUGCAGGAGCUCACCCCCCAGCCAGGCUCACCGAGGCAGCAUUUAUUCAAGGAACAGGAACAGCGUGCUCAGCCUGAAGCUCACUCAUUCACAGCACAGGCAGCUCCCAGCUCCCUCCAAACCAACCCUGGCUAUGGUGGUGAUCAUC